GCCCCCAUAGCUCAGAUGGAUAGAGCACAGGCCUCCUAAGCCUGGCGGGCCCGUUCGAAUCGGGCUGGGGGCA
rfam:Candidatus Omnitrophica bacterium 4484_171 ex4484_171_scaffold_4587, whole genome shotgun sequence.